UGGUAUGGUGUCGUGUGGUAAAGUAUGGUGCCGAUGUGUCAAGUGUGUAUGGUGAUAAGGGAGUGUGAAGGGUAUGGUGUUAUAUGUAAUUCUGGGGUGCGUGUGCUUAGAUAUGGUGCUGUAGGUAUGGUGAAAUAUGGUGAAGAGUUAAAUGUCCCUGGUUAUAGAUAUGGUGUUGUUGGGUAUGGUGUCGGUAUGGUGUAUGGUGCUGUGUGAUAUGGUGCGUGGAGUGGUAUAGAAGAAUGUGGUAUUGUUUUGGUGGCUAUGGUGAGGUAUGGUGUCGUGAGGUGUAUAAGAGUAUGUGAUGUUUUCUGUAUAGUGUCGUGUGGUGAUGUUAAAUUAGACAACUGUAUAUUAUGAUGUUUUGGGGCAAUGUAUGGUGUAAAAUGGCGUGUUAUGGUGUUUUAUGGUGUAGUAUAGUGUAUCGUGGUUCGUUCUAGUGAAUCUUGCCGUUUUAUACUGUGCAUUAUGAUCUGUAAUAGCUCGUUAUGGUGUGGUAUGGUGUAUUAUGGUGCGUUAUGGUGUGUGGUAUGGUGUGUGGUAUGGUGUGUGUGUUAUGGUGUGGUAUGAUUUGUUAUUGCGUGUUAUGGUGUUCUAUAGUGUGUGAUAUGGUGUGUGUUAUGGUGUGUGGUAUGGUGUGUGGUAUGGUGUCUGAUAUGGUGUGUGAUAUGGUGUGGCUAUGUAUGGUAUGGUGUGGUAUGAUUUGUUAUUGCGUGUGUUAUGAUGUGGUAUAGUGUGUGUUAUGGUGUGUGGUAUGGUGUGUGUUAUGGUGUAUGCUAUGGUCUAUGGUAUGGUGUGUGUGUUAUGGUGUGUGUUAUGGUGUAUGCUAUGGUCUAUGGUAUGGUGUGUGUGUUAUGGUGUGUGUUAUGGUGUAUGCUAUGGUCUAUGGUAUGGUGUGUGUUAUGGUGUAUGCUAUGGUCUAUGGUAUGGUGUGUGUUAUGGUGUAUGCUAUGGUCUAUGGUAUGGUGUGUGUGUUAUGGUGUGUGUUAUGGUGUAUGCUAUGGUCUAUGGUAUGGUGUGUGUUAUGGUGUGUGUUAUGGUGUAUGCUAUGGUCUAUGGUAUGGUGUGUGUGUUAUGGUGUGUGGUAUGGUGUAUGCUAUGGUCUAUGGUAUGGUGUGUGUGUUAUGGUGUGUGGUUUAGUGUGUUAUGGUGUGUUAUGGUGAGUGGUAUAGUGUGUUAUGGUGUGGAAUGUGCGUGUUAUGGUGUGUGUGGUAUGGUGUCAUGGUGUGUGUCAUGGUGUGCGGGGCGUCUCAACACUUACUAAAAAAAACACCGAACAUAAAGUAACAAACAACACACACACACAGCCCUGCCCUGCCCUGGCCUGACCCAACACAACAACACACGACGCACGACACAGGAGGCGGCGAGGGGGGGGACCCAAAACGUGUAAAAACAGAUGACGCAACACUCCACCAACACACAUCAUUAGUAUUACCGUGACUAUAAUUCCCCACAACAAGAGUCCGGGCUGAUCCUUCCCCUUGUGUACCUGUGUGACGCGACGGUGGACAGGUGAGGUGAGGUGAGGCUGGGUGACCUUACUUUAAACCUGGUCUUAAUUAGUGACCUUUUAACACUCCAUGGACAGGUAAAGAGGGUUGAGUUUAGCAUCUUGAUAUAUAUGAGUUUUUGUUUGUAUCUUGAUAUAUAUGAGUUUUUGUUUGUAUCUUGAUAUAUAUGAGUUUUUGUUUGUAUCUUGAUAUAUAUGAGUUUUUGUUUGUAUCUUGAUAUAUAUGAGUUUUUGUUUGUAUCUUGAUAUAUAUGAGUUUUUGUUUAUUAACUUUUUGACCUUUCUGAUUGUUUUUUUCUUAUCUGAUCUUUUUCUGCCUUCUGACCUUGACUAGUGACCUUUCAACACCCAUGGACAAGUAAGAAGGGGUGAGUUUAACAACCUGAUACAUAUGACAGGCUUAUUUUGCAACCUUUUGACCUUUCUGACAUUUUCUAUCUUUUCCUAACCUUAUCUCACCGUAAGUACUGCUUUACUGACCUUUUCUGACUUUUUCUGACCCUGACACGAUAAAGGUAAUCUAAUUAACACAUUUUACGUCCAUAUUAUUCAAACAGGUAAGACCCUUUAUUAGUUCACCUUUACGACUUAAUCAACACACCUGACACAAGAGAGGUCCUUUAAUUAACCUAUAAUCUUCACCUAUUCAUACAGAUGAGAAAAUAAAUUUAUUCACCUUUCCCAACUAACACACCUGGCGUAAACAGGUUCAUUAAUACCCCUUGAUUAAUUAUGCAGGUAAAGUCAAUCAACAAGUACUUUAACAUCUUUCUCUGCAGGUAACAUUAACACACCUGACAAUUUCAAUAUUAUUUUGCGCCUGUAUCUACCUGUCUAUAGAGGUACCACUCAUUAGUUAACAGAGCUUUUCCAGGUUAACUGAUACUGAGAUUCACCUUCACCUGGUCACUUUCACUUUCGUUUUCACCCACUAAUCACAUUUCAUUUACCUGUUCACCUCUUUACUCAUUCACCUUCUCCUUACCUGUUCACAUUCAUUAAUAGAGUUCCCAUUUCCGAUCACUUUCAUUUCCCUUUUCUCACCUCUACCUGUCCAUUAGCACCUCAUUAGCACCUUCAUUUUAAUCAGUUUUUCACUUUCAAUUAGUCAUUUUCACUUUCCCGUUCCUAUUCACCUUCCUAUUAUUUUUUAACAUCACCUUUUACCAUGUUCAGCAAUCCAACCUUACAUUUAUUUUCACUCUUCAUUUUCACCUGUUCACUUUCACCUAAUUAUCAUCACCUGUCUAUCAUUACCUUCACUUUCCCUCUUCGUCUACACCUGUCAACUUUCACCUCAUUAUCUUCAUCUGUCAUUCACCUUCACUUUCACUCAUCUUCACCUGUCCACUUUUACCUAAUCGUCUUCACCUGUCUAUCAUCACCUUCACUUUCCCUCUCCAUCUUCACCUCCAUCCUCUCACCUGUCCACCUCGUCACACCUGGUCACGGGGGACAGCCAGGAUCAUUAACAGGUAAUCAUCACCUGGAUUCUGACCGCAGGUGUGUUCCACGUGUGAGCAUAAGUCUGGGGGAAGUACAACACUGUGUAAAACGUUAAUUAAGAAAGGGAGUGGAUGGGUGGAGUGGGGUGGAUGUGGAGUGGAUGUGGAGUGAACAGUGAAAGGAAUGAGUAUGGAUUAGGAAUAGAAUAGUGUGUGGAAUGAACAAUUGUAGUGGAGUGAUUGUGGGAGGAUGUGUGGAGUGGAUGGAGUAAACAGCUGAGGCGGGAGUGGAAUGACAUAGAAUGCAGGUGAUUAUAGGUGGAGAGAGUGGAAUAAAAGAGAGUGGAGUAGGAUGGGAGUGAGUGAAAGAGGUGGGAGUGUGAGGGAUGGA